GAAAUGCGAUACGUAAUGUGAAUUGUAGAAUUCAGUGAAUCAUCGAGUCUUUGAACGCACAUUGCGCCCCCUGGUAUUCCGGGGGGCAUGCCUGUCCGAGCGUCAUUGCUGCCCUCAAGCACGGCUAGUGUGUUGGGCCCCCGUCCCCCACCAAGGGGACGGGCCCGAAAGGCAGCGGCGGCACCGUGUCCGGUCCUCGAGCGUAUGGGAAGCAACUUUUUGUCACCCGCUCCUGUAGGUCCGGCCGGCGACCUGCCCAACCCCAACCUUUUUUUCAACCAGGUUGACCUCGGAUCAGGUAGGGAUACCCGCUGAACUUAAGC
rnacentral:misc_RNA from 1 species